rnacentral:rRNA from 1 species
AGAGUUUGAUCCUGGCUCAGAGCGAACGCUGGCGGAAUGCUUAACACAUGCAAGUCGCACGGCUCUUUCGGGGGCAGUGGCGGACGGGUGAGUAACGCGUAGGGAACGUGUCCUGGACUGGGGGAUAACGCUGGGAAACUGGCGCUAAUACCGCAUAUCUCCUGAGGGAGAAAGCCGCGAGGCGGUUUGGGAGCGGCCUGCGUCCGAUUAGCUUGUUGGUUAGGUAAUGGCUGACCAAGGCGAUGAUCGGUAGCUGGUCUGAGAGGAUGAUCAGCCACACUGGGACUGAGACACGGCCCAGACUCCUACGGGAGGCAGCAGUGGGGAAUAUUGGACAAUGGGCGCAAGCCUGAUCCAGCAAUUCCGCGUGGGUGAAGAAGGUCUUCGGAUUGUAAAGCCCUUUCGGCGGGGACGAUGAUGACGGUACCCGCAGAAGAAGCCCCGGCUAACUUCGUGCCAGCAGCCGCGGUAAUACGAAGGGGGCUAGCGUUGCUCGGAAUGACUGGGCGUAAAGGGCGCGUAGGCGGCACGGACAGUCAGGCGUGAAAUUCCUGGGCUUAACCUGGGGGCUGCGUUUGAUACGUUCGAGCUAGAGGAUGGAAGAGGCUCGUGGGAUUCCCAGUGUAGAGGUGAAAUUCGUAGAUAUUGGGAAGAACACCGGUGGCGAAGGCGGGAGCUGGUCCUUACUGACGCUGNNGCGCGAAAGCGGGGGAGCAAACAGGAUUAGAUACCCUAGUAGUCC